CUACCGCGGUCGCUGUUGGUGGCGCCGCCGGGCCUGCGACUAGGUGGCAUCCUUCAGACACUAUAGGCCGUCUCUGCACACGUGAUGCGGGGCUCGGUCACGUUGCCCCCUGGAAGCUUGAGGAUGCGCCAGGUUUGACUCUGCAGGGCGUACGCGCUUUAGGGAUGGAAGGAAGAGGAACGCGGCAGGAAGGCGAGCCCCAAGGUGGAGAAUCGCCUGGGCGCGCAGGCUGCGGCGGCUUCGCACAGCCGCCCUGGGCGCUGCACGGGUCCGCGCGCACCCUGCUGCGCACCCACUCGCGGCCAGCUCCCUACAGAGGAGUGGAGUGACUGCUCGACUACCACCCCUCUUUUAGUGUGAGCGUCUGGAGUCCUGACCGCCCCAGCCAGCCCAGCUACGAUGAACUGUCUAAGAGGAUGUGGCAAGACCCAGAAGUAUGGGUGACCUUAUGUCAGAGGAAGUGGCUUUCUUAUUGCAGCAAAAAUUCCCGUACCAAUGUCAGUGCUAGGAUGGAGUUUCACUGUGUCACCCAGGCUGGAGUGCAGUGGCACGAUCUCAGCUCAAUGCAACCUCUGUCUCCUGGGUUCAAGCAAAUCUCCUGCCUCAGCCUCUUGAGUAGCCUGAGUAGCUGGGACUAAAGGUAUGUGCCACCACACCUGGCUAAUUUUUGUAUUUUUAGUAGAGACAGGGUUUCACCACGUUGGCCAGGCUGGUCUUGAACUCCUGACCUCAAGUAAUCCACCCACCUUGGCCUCCCAAAGUGCUGGGAUUACAGGCAUGAGCCACUGUGCCCAGCCAACAUUUUUUCUUUCAUUUUGACUUUGGAGAAUCUGCUGAUACAUAUCUUAGGGAUGAUUUUCUUGAAUAGUUAUCUUACUGGGGUUCUCUUGUUCCUGAAUUUGAAUGUUGGCCUAUCUUGCUAGGUUGGGGUCAUUCUCCUGGAUGAUAUCCUGAAGUAUGUUUUCCAACUUGGUUCUAUUCUUCCUGUCUCUUUCAGGUACCCCAAUCAGUUGUAGGUUUGGUCCUUUUACAUAAACCCAUAUUUCUCAGAGGUUUUAUUCAUUCAUUUUCAUUCUUUUUUCUCUAUUCCUGUCUACCUGUCCUAUUUCAGAGAGAUAGUCUGCAAGCUCUGGGAUUCUUUGCUCUGCUUGGUCUAUUCUGCUAUUAAUACUUGGGAUUACAUUGCGAGUACUUGUAGUAUGUUUUUCAGCUCUGUGAGGUCGGUUAUGGUCCUUUCUAUACUGGCUGUUUUGGCUGUCAGCUCCUGCAUUGUUUUAUCAUGAUUCUUAGCUUCUUUGCCUUUGGUUAGGACAUACACCUUUAGCUCAGCAAAAUUGGCUUUUGUCCACAUUCUGAAGCUUACUUCUGUCAUCUUGGGCUCAGCCUAGUUCUGAGCCCUUGCUGGAGAGGUGUUGUGAUCAUUUGGAGGAAAAGGGGCUCUCUGGGUUUUUGAAUUUUCAAGAUUUUUGCGUUGAUUCUUUCUCAUUUUUGUGGGCUUAUCUAUCUUCGAUCUUUGAGGUUGCUGACCUUUGGAUGGCGCUUUCAUGGAUUGUUUUGUUUUUUCAUCUUUUUCUUUUAGCAGUCUGUUUACUCUUCCUUACAGAUGCUGCAGUUAGCUGGGGGUCCACUCUACACCCUGGUUGCCUCAGUUUUUCCUGUACUUGGAGGUAUCAGCAGUGAAUGCUAUGAAACAGCAAAGAUGGCAGCCUGCCCCUUCCCCUGGAAGCUCCAUCCCAGGGCGGUACUGUCCUGUUGCCAGCAUGAGCACACAGUAUGUAGGGGGUGGCUGGAGACCCCAGUUGGGACAUCUCACCUAGUCAGGAGGAACGGGAUCAGGGAUCCACUUAAAGAAGCAGUUGGGCUGUUUUUGAUAGAGCAGUUGUGCUGUGUUGGGGAUCCCAUCAGCCCCUUGUUGGUUUGGGCUCUCCGAGGCCCACAGGCUGAACUGGCUGAGGUGCCCAACAGCCAAGUUGGUGGCCCGCCUUCCCCUCUGGGCACUCUGUCCCAGGGAAAAAUUAGAAGUCUGUUGGCCACAGAACAUGGGCGGGGGUGGCUGGAUACCCCAGCUGGCAUGAUCUACCCGUCAAGGAAAAGUGGAUCAGGGUCCCACUUAAAGAAGCCAUCUGGCCAUGCCUCAAUAGAACAGCCUUGUUGUGCUGGGAAACUGCUUCUGCCCUUGUUGGCUUGGACUCUCUAAAGCCCACUGGUUGGAAUGGCUGAGUCAUUCAAACAGCCAGCUUGGUGGCCCUCCUUUCCUCCCCUCCUCCCCUCCCCUCCUCCUUCCCUCCUCGCCUCCCCUCGGGCAUGCUAUUCCAGAAAGAGAUCAGGAUCCGUUUGUGGAAUACAGGCAGAGAUGGCUGGAGGCCCCGGUUGGGAGGUCCCUCCCAGUGAAGAGGAAUGGAUUGGGGCCCCACUUAAAGAAGCAACCUGGCCACGUUCAGGCAAUGCCGCUGUAGUGUUCUGGGAAGACCCUUCCUUGUUUGAACCAUAUGGAUUCUCCGAAGCCCAUAGACUGAAAUGGCUGAGUCAACCAAACAGUAGAGAUGGCAGCCCACCCCUCCCACUGGGGACUCUGUCCCAUCACAGAGUCGUGCUCUGUCACCCAGGCUGGAGUACAGUGGCGUGAUGUCUGCUUACUGCAGCCUACACCUCCCAGUUCAAGUGAUUCUCCUGCCUCAGCCUUCCAAGUAGCUGGGAUUACAGGUAUUUGCUACCAAACCUGGCUAAUUGUUUGUGGUUUUAGUAGAGAUGAGAUUUCAUCAUGUUGGCCAGGCUAGUCUCGAACUCCUGGACUCAAGUGAUUCGCCUACUUCAGCCUCCCAAAGUGCUGGGAUUAUAGGUGUGAGCCACUGUGCCCGGUCCCACUGAGCCAAUUCUCUUAUUGCCACUUUGGACUCCUCCCAGUGAGGACAAAUAGACACUGAGGACAUCAUGAUAUGCAGAAAGAAACUUGGAGUGCAAGACAAGAGACCUGCACCUUUCUUUCAGCUCCGUUCCAAGCUGCUUGAUCACAGACAUCUCUUCUGUUAGAUGAGGAUAACAGGAUCUGCUCUACCUGCCCUGGAGGAUCUUUGCAAGAAUGAAGUUAGGGGGAAAAAAGUGACAGAACAUAUUGAAAACUUUUCAUAAAUAUCAGAUGCCUUAUUUGUUGUGACACUAUGGGUGGACAGAUGAUUUCAGUUGAGAGAAGAAUUAAGAUUCCUAUGCCCUGCGUUUAACUGGGUCUUGGUUACCCUGAAAGACUGAGAGAGCAAAACCCAAAUAUAGAGGGAGUUUUUCUUAACUGUCCUCCCACCAUGGCUUAUUUGCUUCCUUCUGAAAGUUCAAAAUUGAUGCUAUUAAUUUGGGGUGUCAGCAGUUAUUAAUGGAUCCUUGGGCCAGCAGAUUUUUGUUCCUGCUCUGGAGGGCAGGCAUAACUCUGAUGUGAAUUGGACGUGUUGAAUACUGGAGUGGAUUACUGAAAGAAGGAAGAAAGGGAAAGUUGCAUUUCUUGAGUGCCAAGAAUGGAUAUUUGAAACUUCAUUUAAUUAUACAGUAGUUCAGUGAGGUAGCAAUCACCAUCAACAUCUUGGAGAUAACAGGCUCAGGGAAGCUUAACAUGUUCUCAGUGACAGAACAUCAUACACACAAAGUGGCAGAAUUGGAGUUUGAAUUAGAAUGAUGCCAAAGCCAAUUAUUUUGUUCUCUAUCCCCCUGAGGUCUUAGGGCUCAUCUAAUACCCUUUUUUUGGCCUCUAAAACUUCUCCCUGCAUUUUCAGGUGAGAAAACUGAGUUCACUCCACAAUGACUGAACUAAUCUACACUCCCACCAGCAGUGUAUAAGUGUUCCCUUUUCUCUACUACCUCAUGAGCAUCUGUUAUUUUUUGACUUUUUAGUAAUAGCCAUUCUGACUGGUGUAACAUGGGAUCUCACUGUGGUUUUGAUUUUUAUUUCCCUAAUGAUUAGUAAUAUUGAGUAUUUUUCAUGUUUGUUGGCCGCAUGUAUGUCUUCUUUUGAAAAGUGUCUGUUCAUGUCCUUUGCCCACUUUUUAAAGGGGUAGUGUUUUUGCUUGUAUGUUUGUUUAAGUUUCUUGUACAUUCUGGAUAUUAGACAUUUGUCAGAUGUAGAGUUUGCAGAUAUUUAUCUCCCAUUCUGUAGGUUGCCUGUUUACUCUGACAGUUUCUUUUGUUGUGAAGAAGCUUGUUAGUUCAAGAGCUUCUUUAGGGUCCCAUUUGCCAAUUUUUGCUUUAUUGCAAUUGCUUUUGGCAUUUUUGUUGUGAAAUCUUUGCCAUUUUCUAUGUCCAGCAUGGUAUCACCUAGGUUAUCUUCGAGGGUUUUUAAAUUUUUAAGUUUUGCAUUUAGGUCUUUAAUUUAUCUUGAGUUGAUUUUUCGAUAUGGUGUAAGGAGAUUUUCAAUCUUCUGCAUAUGGCUAGGCUGUUUUCCCAGCACCAUUUAUUGAAUAGGAAAUCCUUUUACCAUUGCUUGUUUUUGUCACCUUUGUCAAAGAUCAGAUGGUUGUAGGUGUGUAGCUUUAUUUCUGGGCUGUCUAUUCUGUUCCAUUGUUCUAUGUGUCUGUUUUUAUACCAGUACCAUGCUGUUUCGGUUACUGUAGCCUUGUAGUACAGUUUGAAGUUGGGCAAUGUGAUUACCCUAGCUUUGUUCUUUUUGUUUAGGAUUGCCUUGGCUAUUCUGGCUCAUUUUUGGUUCCAUAUGAAUUUUAGGAUAGUUUUUUCUAGUUCAGUGAAGAAUGUCAUUGGUAGUUUGAUAGGAAUAGCAUUGAAUCUGUAAAUUGCUUUGGGCAGUAUGGCCAUUUUAAUGAUAUUGAUUCUUCCUAUCAAUGAGCAUGAAAUAUUCUUACAUUUGUUUGUGUCAUUUCUGAUUUCUUUGAGCAGAGUUUUGUAAUUUUCGUUGUACAGCUCUUUCACUUCCCUGAUUAGCUGUAUUACUAGGCAUUUUAUCCUUUUUGUGGCAAUUGUGAAUGGGAUUGCAUUCCUGAGUUGACUCUUGGCUUGGAUGCUAUUAGUGUAUAAGAAUGCUACUGAUUUUUGUACAUUGAUUUUGUAUACCAAAACUUUGCUGAACUUGCUUUUCAGCCCAGGGAGCUUUUGGGCUGAGACUAUGGGAUUUUCUAGAUAUAGAAUCAUGUCAUCUGCAAGCAUGGAUAGUUUGACUUCCUCUCUUCCUAUUUGCAUGCCUUUUGUUUCUUUCUCUUGCCUGAUUGCUCUGGCCUGGCUCCUAUUAUUUUAAAGUAUGUUCCUUGGACGUUGAAUUUUAUCAAAAGCCUUUUCUUCAUCUAUUGAGAUAAUCAUGUAGUUUUUGUCUUUAGUUCUGUUUAUGUGAUGAUUCACAUUUAUUGAUUUGCAUAUUGUAUUAGUCUGUUCUCACGCUGCUAAUAAAGACACACCAGAGACUGGAUAAUUUAUAAAAGAGAGGUUUAAUGGACGCACAAUUCCACAUGGCUGGGGCAGUCUCACAGUCAUGGUGGAAAGCAAAGGAGAAAGAAAGGCACAUAUUACAUGACAGCAGGCAAGACAGCUUGUGCAAGACAACUCCCGUUUAUAAAACCAUCAACUCUCAUGAGACUUAUUUACUACCAUGAGAACAAUAUGGGGGAAAUCACCCCUAUGAUUCAAUUAUCUCCAUCUGGCUCUACCCUUGACAUGUGGGGAUUAUUACAAUUCAAGGUGAGAUUUUGGUGGGGGGACACAACCCAACCAUAUCAUGUAUGUUGAAUGAACCUUGCAUCCAAGUGAUAUCAAACCUCUUCCUAAUUCCCUUUUCCUCCUACCCUUCCCAGUCUCUAAUAUCCUCCAUUCAUUCUAUUUUGUACUCCUGUGAGAUCAACUUUUUUUUAGCUUCCACAUAUGGGUAAAAAUAUCUGGUGUUUAGUUUUUUGUUCCUGGCUAGUUUCACUUAAUAUUAUGUCCUCCUGUUCCAUCCAUGGUGCUGUGAAUGGCAGGAUUUUAUUGGUUUUAUGGCUAGAUAAUAGCCCAGUGUGUAUAUAUACCAUAUUUUCUCCAUCCAUUCAUCUGCUGUUGGAGACCUAGAUUGAUUCCAUAUUUUGGCUAUUGUGACUAAACAAUAAACAUGGGGUUGCUACAAUAAACAUGGGGGUAUACAUGCAAAACAUUUCUUAACAUCUUUUUUUCUAACUCUUCUACCCCUUAUUUUAUCACCAAACCCUGCACUAUCUCCUGUUUUUUUUUUUUUUUUGAAAUAACUGGUGCUUGCUUUACAGGAAGCCCCAGAAAACACUGUGCCUUGGAAUUCCUAGGCACUUAACUUACAAAUAUAAUGGAACCAAGGAUCAGAAGCUGGAUUUGAAGACAUUGCAAGGAAGGUGUUUCCUAGAGUAAUCUAUAGAUGGAAUUGAUUCUGUAGAAAGGUGAUAAACCCUGACCAUUGAGUGUUGAAGCUAAGAUGAGGAGACUACUGGUAGAAAUAUUCAAAAGUAACUAAAACACAUAGGUGCUGGGGAUGGAUGGUUAGUCAGAUUAUUGACUCUCAUGGCUUGUAAUUAGUUUGUGAUCUGAAUUUAAAUUACUUAGGAAAGGAAUGGCUUUUCAGCAGAAAAAUAUAUGCAUCAAUAGCACCUACCAGUCCCAACAAAUGAUUCUAUAUAUUUUUUUAAGUUGGUGAAUUUUAUUAUAUUUUGCCACAAUUAAAAAUAAAAAAUAAUUUGAAGGGAAAUGAUUUUAACAAAUAAAAUAAAUGGAGUGGAAGGAAAUAUGGAGGGUUAGUAAUCAACAGGCAUUAAGUCCAGCAAGAUGAAUAAGCUCUAGAGAUCUGCUGAACGACAUGGUACUUAUAGUCAACAAUAAUUUAUUGUACACUUAAAAAUUUGUUGAGAUCUCACGUUGUGUUCUUGCCACAAUACAGUAAAAUAAAAAUAAGUUUUACACAUUUUUUAAAAGGUUAUACACCUCAUAAAAGUGAUAGAGAAGGAGACAGCCAAAUGCUGCCCAGGCCAUUGUGCACAUUGAGCUUAUCUAAACAUGCCCACAGUGAAAAAUUCUGUCCCUUAACACAUGCGUAGUAUGUGUAGACAAGCUCCUUGGGUUUUCCUACUUUACUGUGCAUUACAACUCAUGUGUCAAGUUCAAAGACAUUCUGUCCCUGAACACAUGCAUAGUAAGGGAAAUAAAUCAAUAUGGAGUGGCUCAGACUAAGGGCCCACCUGUGCACUGGGACAAUGGGGUGGACCCACCUGGAAUCCACGCCUUAUAAAUUGGGGAGAAGCCUGGCCUUUUCAGCUCAUGUGUGGUGGCCUGGUAUUCAAUCUGUGAGGUGGAAGCCUGUUGAAAGGUCCCCCUUUUUUCUCUGAGAGCUUUCUUUUAAUUCUGCUCUCUCCACCUUUCAAUGUGUCCACGUACCUAAUUUUUCCUGGUUGUGACACAAGAACCAGAUUUUAGCUGAACUAAAGAGCAAAAAAUCCUGCAUCAAAAGGAGAGCCAAGACUCAAAAAGAGAAACAGUCUUUCGAAUUUUUCAUUGAUUUUAAUUCAGUGACUUCUCUGAACAAUAAAGUUGCAACUUAUUUGAAUAAAAACACUCAAAAUAAAGGGAACACUAAAACUUACAAUUGAAUGUGUCAUUUGCCUGAUUAUAGGUCUUUGGGAAUCUGCAAGGUAACCUUUAUUCCUGCAAGAUAUAGAUCUUAGCUUUUCUUUUUUUAAAUUAUUAUUAUUAUACUUUAAGUUCUAGGGUCCACGUGCACACAACGUGCAGGUUUGUUACAUAUGUACACAUGUGCCAUGUUGGUGUGCUGCACCCAUUAACUCGUCGUUUACAUUGGGUAUAUCUCCUAAUGCUAUCCCUCCCCACUCCCUCCACCCCACGACAGGCCCCGGUGUGUGAUGUUCCCCUUCCUGUGUCCAAGUGUUCUCAUUGUUCAAUUCCCACCUAUGAGUGAGAACAUGCAGUGUUUGGUUUUCUGUCCUUGCGAUAGUUUCCUGAGAAUGAUGGUUUCCAGCUUCAUCCAUGUCCUACAAAGGACACUAACUCAUCCUUUUUUAUGGCUGCAUAGUAUUCCAUGGGGUAUAUGUGCCACAUUUUCUUAAUCCACUCUAUCACUGAUGGACAUUUGGGUUGGUUCCAAGUCUUUGCUAUUGUGAAUAGUGCUGCAAUAAACAUACAUGUGCAUGUGUCCUUAUAGCAGCAUGAUUUAUAAUCCUUUGGGUAUAUACCCAGUAAUGGGAUGGCUGGGUAAAAUGGUAUUUCUAAUUCUAGAUCCUUGAGGAAUCACAAUGUCUUCCACAAUGGUUGAACUAGUUUACAGUCCCACCAACAGUGUAAGAGUGUUCCUAUUUCUCCACACCCUCUCCAGCACCUGUUGUUUCCUGCCUUUUUAAUGAUCACCAUCCUAACUGGUGUGAGAUCGUAUCUCAUUGUGGUUUUGAUUUGCACUUCUCUGAUGGCCAGUGAUGAUGAGCAUUUUUUCAUGUGCCUGUUGGCUGCAUAAAUGUCUUCUUUUGAGAAGUUUCUGUUCAUAUCCUUCGCCAACUUUUUGAUGGGGUUGUUUGAUUUUCUCUUGUAAAUUUGUUUGAGUUCUUUGUAGAUUCUGGAUAUUAGCCCUUUGUCAGAUGAGUAGAUUGCAAAAAUUUUCUCCCAUUCUGUAGGUUGCCUGUUCACUCUGAUGGUGGUUUCUUUUGCUGUGCAGAAGCUCUUUAGUUUAAUUAGAUCCCAUUUGUCAAUUUUGGCUUUUGUUGCCAUUGCUUUUAGUGUUUUAGACAUGAAGUCCUUGCCCAUGCCUAUGUCCUGAAUGGUAUUGCCUAGGUUUUCUUCUAGGGUUUUUAUGGUUUUAGGUCUAACAUGUAAGUCUUUAAUCCAUCUUGAAUUAAUUUUUUUAUAAGGUGUAAGGAAGGGAUCUAGUUUCAGCCAAGACUCAAAAAAAGAAAUAGUCUUUCGAAUUUUUCAUUGAUUUUAAUUCAGCGACUAUUUCCCUGAGCAAUAAAGUUGCAACUUAUGUGAAUAAAAACACUCAAAAUAAAGGGAACACUAAAACUUACAAUUGAAUGCAUCAUUUGCCUGAUUAUACAUCUUUGAGAAUCUGCAAGGUAACCUUUAUUCCUGCAAGGUAUAGAUUUUAGCUUUGGUGAAUCUGACAAUUAUGUGUCUUGGAGUUGCUUUUCUCGAGGAGUAUCUUUGUGGCAUUCUCUGUAUUUCCCGAAUUUGAAUGUUGGCCUGCCUUGCUAGGUUGGGGAAGUUCUCCUGGAUAAUAUCCUGAAGAGUGUUUUCCAACUUGGUUCCAUUCUCCCAGUCACUUUCAGGUACACCAAUCAGACGUAGAUUUGGUCUUUUCACAUAGUCCCAUAUUUCUUGGAGGCUUUGUUCAUUUCUUUUUACUGUUUUUUCUCUAAACUUCUCUUCUUGCUUCAUUUCAUUCAUUUGAUCUUUAGUCACUGAUCGCCUUUCUUCCAGUUGAUCGAAUCAGCUACUGAAGCUUGUGCAUGUGUCAUGUAGUUCUCGUGCCAUGGUUUUCACCUCCAUCAGGUCAUUUAAGGUCUUCUCUACACUGGUUAUUCAGUUAGCCAUUUGUCCAAUCUUUUUCUCAAGGUUUUUAGCUUCUUUGCAAUGGGUUCGAACAUCUUCCUUUAGCUCGGAGAAGUUUGAUCAUCUGAAGCCUUCUUCUCUCAACUCGUCAAAGUCAUUCUCCGUCCAGCUUUGUUCCAUUGCUGGUGAGGAGCUGUGUUCCUCAGUUGGAAAUUUUAGACCAAUAUCCCUGAUGAACAUUGAUGCAAAAAUCCUCAAUAAAAUACUGGCAAAACAAAUCCAGCAGCACAACAAAGAGCUUAUCCACCAUGAUCAAGUGGGCCUCAUCCCUGGGAUGCAAGGCUGGUUCAACAUACACAAAUCAAUAAAUGUAAUCCAGCAUAUAAACAGAACCAAAGACAAAAACCACAUGAUUAUCUCAAUAGAUGCAGAAAAGGCCUUCGACAAAAUCCAACAGCCCUUCAUGCUAAAAACUCUCAAUAAAUUAGGUAUUGAUGGAACGUAUCUCAAAAUAAUAAUAGCUAUCUAUGGCAAACCCACAGCCAAUAUCAUACUGAAUGGGCAAAAACUGGAAGCAUUCCCUUUGAAAACUGGCACAAGACAGGGAUGCCCUCUCUCACCACUGCUAUUCAACAUGGUGUUGGAAAUUCUGGCUUGGGCAAUCAGGCAGGAGAAAGAAAUAAAGGGUAUUCAAUUAGGAAAAGAGGAAGUCAAAUUGUCCCUGUUUGCAGAUGACAUGAUUGUAUAUUUAGAAAAUCCCAUUGUCUCAGCCCAAAAUCUACUUAAGCUGAUAACCAACUUCAGCAAAGUCUCAGGAUACAAAAUCAAUGUACAAAAAUCACAAGCAUUCUUAUACACCAAUAACAGACAAUCAGAGAGCCAAAUCAUGAGUGAACUCCCAUUCACAAUUGCUUCAAAGAGAAUAAAAUACCUAGGAAUCCAACUUACAAGGGACACGAAGGACCUCUUCUAGGAGAACUACAAACCACUGCUCAACGAAGUAAAAGAGGACACAAGCAAACGGAAGAACAUUCCAUCCUCAUGGAUAGGAAGAAUUAAUAUCAUGAAAAUGGCCAUACUGCCCAGGGUAAUUUAUAGAUUCAAUGCCAUCCCCAUCAAGCUACCAAUGACUUUCUUCACAGAAUUGGAAAAAACUACUUUAAAGUUCAUAUGGAACCAAAAAAGAGCCCACAUCGCCCAGUCAAUCCUAAGCCAAAAGAACAAAGCUGGAGGCAUCACACUAUAAAGUACUUUAUUUUAUUCUCUUUGAAGCAAUUGUGAAUGGGAGUUCACUCAUGAUUUGGCUCUCUGAUUGUCUGUUAUUGGUGUAUAAGAAUGCUUGUGAUUUUUGUACAUUGAUAUUGUGUCCUGAGACUUUGCUGAAUUUGCUUAUCAGCCUAAGUAGAUUUUGGGCUGAGAUGAUGGGGUUUUCUAAAUAUACAAUCAUGUCAUCGGCAAAGAGGGACAAUUUGACUUCCUCUUUUCCUAAUAAAUAUUCCAAAUAAAUAAAAUUCCUUUUAUUUAUUUGUCCUGCCUUAUUGCCCAAGCCAGGACUUCCAACACUACGUUGAAUAGGAGUGGUGAGAGAGGGCAUCCCUGUCUUGUGCCACUUUUCAAAGGAAAUGCUUCCAGUUUUUGCCCAUUCAGUAUGAUAUUGACUGUGGGUUUGUCAUAAAUAGCUAUUAUUAUUUUGAGAUACAUUCCAUCAAUACCUAAUUUAUUGAGAGUUUUUAGCAUGAAGGGCUAUUGAAUUUUGUCAAAGGCCUUUUCUGCAUCUAUUGAGAUAAUCAUGUGGUUUUUGCCUUUGGUUCUGUUUAUAUGCUGGAAUAUGUUUAUUGAUUUGUGUAUGUUGAACCAGCCUUGCAUCCCAGGGGUGAAGCCCACUUGAUCAUGGUGGAUAAGCUCUUUGAUAUGCUGCUGGAUUCGGUUUGCCAGUAAUUUACUGAGGAUUUCUGCAUCGAUGUUCAUCAGGGAUAUUGGUCUAAAAUUCUCUUUUUUUGUUGUGUCUCUGCCAAGCUUUGGUAUCAGGAUGAUGCUGGCCUCAUAAAGUGAGUUAGGGAGGAUUCCCUCUUUUUCUAUUGACUGGAAUAGUUUUAGAAGGAAUGGUACCAGCUCAUCCUUGUACCUCUGGUAGAAUUCAGCUGUGAAUCCAUCUGGUGCUGGGCUUUUUUUGGUUGGUAGGCUAUUGAUUAUUGCCUCAAUUUCAGAGCCUGUUAUAGGUCCAUUCAGGGAUUCAACUUCUUCCUGGUUUAGUCUUUGGAGGGUGUAUGUGUCCAGGAAUUUAUCCAUUUCUUCUAGAUUUUCUAGUUUAUUUGCGUAGAGGUGUCUAGUAUUUAGGUAUUUUAUAGUAUUCUCUGAAGGUAGUUUGUAUUUCUGUGGGAUUGGUGGUGAUGUCCCCUUUAUCAUUUUUUAUUGUGUCUAUUUGAUUCUUCUCUCUUUUCUUCUUUAUUAGUCUUGCUAGUGGUCUGUCAAUUUUGUUGAUCUUUUCAAAAAACCAGCUCCUAGAUUCAUUGAUUUUUUUGAAGGGUGUUGUGUCUCUAUCUCCUUCAAUGCUGCUCUGAUCUUAGUUAUUUCUUGUCUUCUGCUAGCUUUUGAAUGUGUUUGCUCUUGCUUCUCUAGUUCUUUUAAUUGUGAUGUUAGGGUGUCAAUUUUAGAUCUUUCCUGCUUUCUCUUGUGAGCAUUUAGUGCUAUAAAUUUCCCUCUACACACUGCUUUGAAUGUGUCCCAGAGAUUCUGGUAUGUUGUGUCUUUGUUCUCAUUGGUUUCAAAGAACAUCUUUAUUUCUGCCUUCAUUUUGUUAUGUACCCAGUAGUCAUUCAGGAGCAGGUUGUUCAGUUUACAUGUAGUUGAGCUGUUUUGAGUGAGUUUCUUAAUCCUGAGUUCUAAUUUGAUUGCACUGUGGUCUGAGAGACUGUUAUAAUUUCUGUUCUUUUACAUUUGCUGAGGAGUGCUUUACUUCCAACUACGUGGUCAAUUUUGGAAUAAGUGUGGUGUGGUGCUGAGAAGAAUGUGCAUUCUGUUGAUUUGGGGUGGAGAGUUCUGUAGAUGUCUAUUGGGUCUUCUUGGUGCAGAGCUGAUUUCAAUUCGUGGAUAUCCUUGUCAACUUUCUGUCUUGUUGACCUGUCUAAUGUUGACAGUGGGGUGUUAACGUCUCCCAUUAUUAUUGUUUGGGAGUCUAAGUCUCUUUGUAGGUCUCUAAGGACUUGCUUUAUGAAUCUGGGUGGUCCUGUAUUGGGUGCAUAUAUAUUUAAGAUAGUUAGCUCUUCUUGUUGAAUUGAUCCCUUUACCAUUAUGCAAUGGCCUUCUUUGUCUCUUUUGAUCUUUGUCGGUUUAAAGUCUGUUGUAUCAGAGACUAGGAUUGCAACCCCUGCCUUUUUUUGUUUUCCAUUUGCUUGGUAGAUCUUCCUCCAUCCCUUUAUUUUGAACCUAUGUGUGUCUCUGCAUGUGAGAUGGGUCUCCUGAAUACAGCACACUGAUGGGUCUUGACUCUUUAUCCAAUUUGCCAGUCUGUGUCUUUUAAUUGGAGCAUUUAGCCCAUUUACAUUUAAGGUUAAUAUUGUUAUGUGUGGAUUUGAUCCUGUCACUAUGAUGUUAGCUGGUUAUUUUGCUCAUUAGUUGAUGUGAUUUCUUCCUAGCAUCGAUGGUCUUUACAAUUUGGCAUGUUUUUGCAGUGUCUGGUACUGGUUGUUCCUUUCCAUGUUUAGUGCUUCCUUCAGGAGCUCUUUUCGGGCAGGCCUGGUUCUGACAAAAUCUCUCAGCACUUGCUUGUCUGUAAAGGAUUUUAUUUCUCCUUCACUUAUGAAGCUUAGUUUGGCUGGAUAUGAAAUUCUGGGUUGAAAAUUCCUUUCUUUAAGAAUGUUGAAUAUUGGCCCCCACUCUCUUCUGGCUUGUAUUGUUUCUGCUGAGAGAUCCGCUGUUAGUCUGAUGGGCUUCCCUUUGUGGGUAACUUGACCUUUCUUUGUCUUGCUGCCCUUAACAUUUUUUCCUUCAUUUCAACCUUGGUGAAUCUGACAAUUAUGUGUCUUAGGGUUGCUCUUCUUGAGGAGUAUCUUUGCGGUGUUCUCUGUAUUUCCUGAAUUUGAUUGUUGGUCUGCCUUGCUAGGUGUGGGAAUUUCUCCUGGAUAAUAUUCUGCAGAGUGUUUCCCAACUUGGUUCCAUUCUCCCCGUCACUUUCAGGUACACCAGUCAGACAUAGAUUUGGUCUCUUCACAUAGUCCCAUAUUUCUUGGAGUCCUUGUUCAUUUCUUUUUACUCUUUUUUCUCUAAACUUCUCUUCCUGCUUCAUUUCAUUCAUUUGAUCUUCAAUCACUGAUCCCCUUUCUUCCAGUUGAUUGAAUCAGCUACUGAAGCUUGCACAUUCGUCACUUAGUUUCUUUGCCAUGGUUUUUAGCUCCAUCAGGUCAUUUAAGGAUUUCUCUACACUGGUUAUUCUAGUUUGCCAUUCAUCUAAUCUUUUUUCAAGGUUUUUAAGCUUCUUUGCGAUGGGUUCAAAAUUCCUCCUUUAGCUCGGAGAAAUUUGAUCAUCUGAAGCCUUCUUCUCUCAACUUGUCAAAGUCAUUCUCCGUCCAGCUUUGUUCCAUUGCUGGCGAGGAGCUGUGUUCCUUUGGAGGGGGGAGAGGCGCUCUGAUUUUUAGAAUUUUCAGCUUUUCUGUUCUGUUUUGUCCCCAUCUCUGUGGUUUUAUCUACCUUUGGUCUUUGAUGAUGGUGACGUAUAGAUGGGGUUUUGGUGUGGAUGUCCUUUCUGUUUGUUAGUUUUCUUUCUAACAGUCAGGACCCUCAGCUGCAGGUCUGUUGGAGUUUGCUGGAGGUCCACUCCAGACCCUCUUUGCCUGGGUAUCACCAGCAGAGGCUGCAGAACAGCGAAUAUUGCUGAACAGCAAAUGUUGCUGCCUGAUCAUUCCUCUGGAAGCUUUGUCUCAGAGGGGUACCCAGCUGUGUGAGGUGCCAGUCUGCUCCUACUCGGGGGUGCCUCCCAGUUAGGCUACUCAUGGGUCAGGGACCCACUUGAGGAGGCAGUCUAUCUGUUCUCAGAUCUCAAACUCCAUGCUGGAACAACCACUACUCCUCUUCAAACAGGGACAUUUAAUUCUGCAGAGGUUUCUGCUGCCUCCUGUUUGGCUAUGCCCCGCCCCCAGAGGUGGAGUCUACAGAUGCAGGCAGGCCUCCUUGAGCUGCAGUGGUCUCCACCCAGUUUGAGCUUCCCAGUCACUUUGUUUACCUACUCAAGCCUAAGCAAUGGUGGGCGCCCCUCCCCCAGCCUCGCUGCCACCUUGCAGUUUGAUCUCAGACUGCUGUGCUAGUAAUUAGCAAGGCUCUGUGGGGGUGGGACCCUCCAAGCCAUGCGUGGGAUAUAAUCUCCUGGUGUGCCGUUUGCUAAGACCAUUGGAAAAGCACAGUAUUAGGGUGGGAGUGACCCGAUUUUCCAGGUGCCAUCUGUCACAGCUUCCCUUGGGUAGGAAAGGAAAUUCCCUGACCCCUUGUGCUUCCCGGGUGAGGCGAUGCCUCGCCCUGCUUUGGCUCACGUUUGCUGGGCUGCACCCACUGCUCUGCACCCACUGUGCUGCACCCACUGUCUGACAAGCCCCAGUGAGAUAAACCCAGUACCUCAGUUGGAAAUGCAGAAAUCACCUGUCUUCUGCAUCACUCAUGCUGGGAGCUGUAGACUGGAGCUGUUCCUAUUUGGCCAACUUGGAACCGCCCCUACCGUGAUAAUUUAUAACUAGACCAGUCUUCUCAGGGAUUUGAGGAUGAAUGGAAAGUCUGAGAUGCAAGAAGAAAUGGUGAUCAAAUAUAUAAUCAAAUAUAAGUAAACACUGACAAUAUAAAAUAACAAUAAUUAUAAUGCUUAAUUGGUGGAAAAAAUCAAAAUAAGAUAGAACCAAAAUACUAUGCAGCUAAAAUAUCUAAAUUCAGGGAGUGGCAUUAAUUAGAUUUAAACAUUCUAAUGUCUUUAUAGUGUUUGAGAGAAGGGUAAAAAUAUUUAUGAAAUUUAAAGCUUGUUAAGUAUUCCUGAAAAAAAAAAAAAACAAAAGAAUAGACUAGAUGUUCCAUUUCCUGAACACCUCUUGAAUUUUUCUCAAGUAUCAUGAGAACUUAAGUUGUAUUAUCCAAGUCCUUGCAGUUAGGUCAUAAAGGGAAGCAAAAGUUCUCACAAUAUAAAAUAUUCAUUAAUGAACUGGCUAAUAAUGAAAUUAGUUCUCAUAUAAGCAUACUUCCCCUUUUCUCUAUAUCCAUGAUUGUAAACAUUUGAAUGCAAAGUAAAUUAAGUAAUAAGUAAAGCUGCAAAUCUUGUAAGAGAGUCAAGAUAUCAAAAAUUCAGUGAAAGUAAAAUUAGAGAAAUACUUAAAUUGCACUUAAAGCUUUUGAAAAAGGAGUCUCUGGCAGAGUCAGUUCAGUUAACAGCUGAAGAAGAGUGAAUUAGUCGAGAUGAUAGCAUGACUAGAUGACUCAAAGGAGAAUGAUUUUGAAACAUAAAGAUUAAGAGAGCCCUUGAGAAAACUGAUGAAUCUUUAAUUGUCUCUCUAACUGUAUUAAUUAUGGGAAAAGCUAAGGUGCUGAAAAAGUGACACCCAAAUACAGUGAUUUAAAGAUGAAAGAAGUUUAUAUCUCAUGUAACCAUCUAGCUCUUUGAGGUCAAUCAUGGGUCCACAUUCCCUAUAUCUCUAAUUUCUCAUAGGGAGAGAUGCUCAUUUGCAUAGUCAAAGCUGGAUCAUAUGGCAUAUUCAUGUUUUAGUACAAAAAAAGGGAAAAGAGAGAAAGCCCAGGGCAAGCAAUUUCCUUUUGAACAAGUAAGAUAGAAGGUGUGUACAUAUCACAUCCCCCCACAUUCCACUGGAGAGAUAUAAAUCAUGUGGCCAUACCCAACUGCCAGUAAAUCUGGGAAAUGUCUCUAGCUGGAUGACAAAGGGCCUAAGAAUAAGGGGAGAAUGGAUUUUGGGGGAAAACUGAUAAUCUGUUUCAUAAACAUUUAUGCAAAAAAUUAUUGUGUGAUCAUAGUCUGAAAAAACAUGAAGGAUGAUGUACAUAUAAUUAGGUCUGAUAAAUUAUGCCUACCCAAAUAAAUACCUGAUUCAUUCUUUAACUUAAAAGAGAUCACAUAUCAAUACUCACAUUUUAUAAAUUCAGAUAAAAUGAAUUUAUUUUUAAAAAUGAAUAAAACACAGUGAGAGUUUACUAGGUUAUGAGGUGCUUAAUAGCCUGUUUUAUAUUUUCUAGUAGGAUGAUUAGAAAAAUUCUUAUUUCUCCUUCAUAUCUGUAGUUGGUAUGAUUCUCCAUCCACAGUCUCUGUGUUCAAGAAUUUUAACCAACCUAAUUUUUGUCUUUCUAUUUCUGUUUUUCACCAUCAUGUAUUUUGGUCUGAGAUAUAGCAAUUUAAUUUCAAUUCAUGGUUCCUCUUUUUACUCUGGUUGCACCUAAGUUCUGGGGCUUUACAUAGCAUCCAGGAAUUAUUAAGGGAAGCUAGUCCUCAGUAUUAUCUGUCUAACCUAGCAUUUGCUGAGAUAGUCAUCUGUCAUUUGGGCCUAAUUCAUUCAGAGAAUACUUAAAACACCGACAUAUGCCAGGUACUGAAAAUAGUGUUGGUCAAGAGAAACACUUUAGUCCCUUUUCUUAUGAAAGAUAGUGUUUAGUAAAUUUUGGUGCAUUGCAAAAAAUUCUGGACCAAGGGCAAAGCCAAGCAUACACACGUGUAGAGAAAGGGGUCAUUUAAAAAGUUUGUCCCAAAAUGAGGAGAAGAAAGUUAAUGAUCAAAUGAAAAUUUGUGGAUUAUUUAUGAUUUUCCAUUUUCAAUGACUUUUCCAUUCCACCAUAACCUAUGAAAAUUGAGAAUUGGUGAUGUUUAGAAGUCAGGAAAGACUUAGAGAAGAUAAGGAUGAGUGAGAAAGUGUGACUUCCCUUUCUCCUGGGUAAUUCCUCUUUUAGUGUUAGGGUGCCUGGAGAAGGUCUUCUGUAAACAUUCAAACUAAUCCAGUAGUAUUUAACCAACCUCUUUCUUACCACAUAACCUUCACUUCCUGGUUGCUGUGGAUAACAAGGGGAGUAUGAGACACAGUUCUGAAAGUUGGUUAAAGUCUCUAUACCAAGAAAAAUUAUAGCCAGGACAGGCAGGAAACAGAACUACACUAAUAAAAAAGCACUGUGGCAGAAAUAAAGCCUAUUUUGGAUUGCAGAGAGGAAGGGGAGAUGAUUACCAGAUGGGAGAAUGGUGUAGUCAAUUAAUUGCAAAGGUGUGGCAAAAAACAUGGUGGACAGAGGGUCUAGGUGGAGGGAGGACAGGCUUGACUGGAGCUAAGGUUUGGGUAGAAAGUGUGAUUCUGUGGCCAUGCUCUCUCUUCAUCUGCUCAUGCUGUGUAGCAUUGCAAGCCUACUCCCAUGCCCCCAGUUUAAUUGCAUUACUCUUCACUAUAGCUUAGGGAGUGGGAGCACUGGCUGUGUAGCCAGACAGACCUGAGUUUGUCUUACUCAGUGUCUAACCACUGCUUACUAGUGUCUAACCUCAGGGAAGUUACUUAACCUCUCUGAACCUGAUUUUCCUUACUGCGUUGCAUGUUUCUGACAGUUUAAUGAGUUACCACAUGCAGUGCUCAGCAAGAGUUUUCAAAGCCCUCAAUAAGAGCAGUACCAUAAUUACGGCCUACCAAUGAGGGGUUGAGUGCUGGGACCAGGAUGGUAGCAUGAGGCAUAAAAAAAUAAGUGUUUUCGUUUCAGACAGUCAUGAGUGUUCACAUUCCAGCUGCAUCACUUCCCUUCUAAUUCCCACUCUGCAGGGAUUAAAUUAGAUCAUGAAUAUACAGUAUUCCACACAGGGCUGGAGUACCAGUGAGUGCUUUUAGAAAAUGUUUGUUUCCUUCCUCAUCACUUACCCACACUCGUUUAUUUCUUUAUUCCUGAGCGUACAUCUAGUCUUCUAGUUUUGUGUUUGUGCAUGGAAUAGGGCAAUGGACACUUACUAGGAUGUCUGGAUAGUUCUGAUGUAACCUGUUGGCACAGCUUUGUUAUGAUCUUCCCUUUCUGAAAAUGUCCUAUGUUUGGACAAUAAAUUACCCUAGUGCUGCUUAGGGCCUUUUACUCUCUAGUCUAGUGGGUCUGGUGUGAUCCUAGGCUUCCUUUUCUGAGGAGGAAAUCACCUGGGGGCUUUGGGCUAGAGCAUGUCCUUGCAGCGUUACUGCUGAGUUGACAGGCAUCCCCUAGGCAACCCCCCGGGUGUAUGUCUUCUUCAUCAUCUGGGGGUCCCCAGGAUUAACUGUCCCACGUUCUGCUUUCGGCCACCACCCAUUCUUUCCCCUGGGGUUUCUCUCCUUUGCCUGGAGCUCUUGCUGGAACAAGAUACGAGGCGUGAUAGAGUUUCCCCCACCCCCUUCUUUCCUACUCGUUUGAAUUGUACAAAACAAUACACUCUUUUUCUGGUUGUGUAGGUUUCUAAGAUAUGUCUAGGAAAAGGAAGACAGGGCAACAAAGUAAUACACAAGGAAAAGUUCCAACUCUUUAUGACAUUAAAAGUUAUCCUAACCUUCGUAGGCAUUUGAAUAGAACUAGAGUUGGUCUUUCUUGGCCCUCUUCACUGAUUCGUCUCUUCCAGUGAACUUCUGAAAUCCACCUUUACCUGAUUGUCUUUUCCCUCUAUUUUUAUUCUUGGGACUUUAUGCAAUGGUUUCCCUCACUAUUUUCUUUAGCUUAUUUUUUUUGGGGGGGCGGGUGGACUUAGGUACUCAAUAAAUAUUCUUUUCUAGAGUGGUGGUAAGCAAUAGAAAUGAAUUGAAAUGGAACAAAGUUGUGACUGAGAAUUUUAAGGAAAUGUUCAUUGCUACCAGAAAGAAACCCUGGUCCAGCCAGAAUGAAACUCCAGAUAAUAAUAUAACAAGUGUAAAUGCUUGUUAAAAGCUGUAUGCCAGGUACUUUACAUGCAUUAUCUCAUCCUCUCACAGCAACCCUGUGAAUUGAGGUACUAGUUACAGUCAUUACACUCUUUCCCACAUUUAUUAAUAAGAAAAUUAAGGCUUAAAAAAGUUAGAUAAUUUGCCCAGUUACUUCCAUAAUUCUUCCAUUAUGGCUGAAAAGCUUGAGGCAAGCUGGGAUUCAGAUUCAGCCAGCCUGUCUCCAAAGCUCUUGCUCUUAACCAUUACAUUAGACUGUCUCCCCAGACUGCAGGAACCAGAGACUCCACCCAGAGGUGUAGCCCUGCUUGAACUGGAGAAAGCCUUGUCAAGGAUGGGCCUUUGUCUGGGGUAAGAGUGGGCCCUAUAUUACUGAAAAGAGGCAUUACAAUUUGAUGAUUCAUUUCUACAUGUCUCACCAUGGUCUUGCUUUUACCCCACUUCCUCUGAUAGCUUUUUGUACCAGUUUUAACGAUCAUAUUUUCAUUUCACCUUUAAUAGCUAUUAAAAAGACACCAUUAUGGUGACUAAUCAGAAGGAUCACCCUCCUUCCAACCUUAGUGGGCACUCAUUUUUCAUUGUAGUUCAUUCUUGCCAAAGUAUGUACUGUGACAGAGGAGAGACCAUAUCACAAAGGUAUUCAUAUGUUAGGAUGUACUUUGCUUGAUGGAAGAGGCUGCUGCACCUAUGAGGGCCCAGGGAAGGAAAUUUGUAUGCAUUUAACCUAAAACCUCUAAAUCUUGCUAAUUUUAAACCAGUCCUUCCUCUGAGGUCAGUCUUGGGGAAAUGCUCUUGAAUACUCCCAACCUUUGGCCUUCCAGUAUCAAGAUCUCAAUUGCCUGAUUGUAUCGUGUGUGGUUAUUUUUCUUUAUUGAUGCAACUAACUUUCCCUGAUUAAGGUUGGGACUUUUUCCCUUUGUCAUUUCAGACCGUUUUGGUGAAGUUUUCAUAUCUUGUCUUUUGCCUCAAAUGUUUCCUUUACUUAGUCAGGCUUUAUUUUAGGUUUCAUUUAGUACUCCCUACCCACCCACCCAUGGGAGAGUACCCAUUAUAGGAGACCAAGGUUUUCAUUCUGAUCUGUAGUCAAAAUAAUAAGAAGUAAGACAAGGACCACACACUGGUGAUCUAUUGGAGGGAGAAAAUAUACCUCCUUGAUGAGUUCUUUUAGUUGGAGUAAAUCCAGGAUUAUAAUGCUACUGUAGCUUUGGAGAUGACUGACUAUAAGAAUAGCUAAUAUUUAUUGAACACUUAUUGUAUGCUAUGCCAUGCACAUUGCCUGCUUUGCCUCACUUAACCCUUACAUAAAGCCUUGACAAGAAAACUUCCAACUUUAAGAGGAGAAAAAUCAAGGUUUAGAGAAAUUAAGUGACUUGCUCAAGGGUCAUACAACUAGUAAAUAGUGGCCCUAGGAUUAGGAUUCAGCAACCUUAACCUCUAUGCUACUGUGUAAAGAAAAAUAUCACAUAAAAUGAGUUAGCCAAGUGACCAAGGCCAAGUUGCAUAACCUCUCUGUGCUUUAGUUUCCUUGUCUAUAAAAUGAGUAAAAGAAAAUGACUCUUGGAUAAUUAUUGUGGUGCUUAUAUGAGGAGCUGUGCAAAACUGAGCUCUUCAUUUGCAAACUGCCUCUCCCUAUCUGCUCCUCUUUGGUCUUCCCCUUAAUCUCAGUCAAUGGCACCACCACACAGUUACUCAGCCCAAUGAUGUACAAGUUAUCGUUGAUGCCUUAAUUUCCAUUACUUACCGUAUCUAAUCCAGUAAGUCUUAUUGCUCUGCCUCCAAAGUAUAUCCCAGAUCUGAUAAUUCGUCACCCUCUUUUGCCAUGGCCUAGAAGUCAAGGCACUUUACAUCUUAUCUGGGCCACUUUACAUCUUAUCUGAGAGUCCUUUAACUCAUCUCUCUGCUUUAACUCCUAUUCCAUUGUGGUCUGUUUUGCCACGCAAAAGCCAACUGGCUUUUAAAAACAUGAAUCUGAAAUCACUCUCCUAAUUGAAACCUUCCAAUGGCUUUCCGUAAAAUUCAUGAUCCAAAGGCUCCAUUCAGUCUAGCCCCUGCCUACUUGUUAAUGCUAUGGCCUAUUACUUAGUUGUCCUCACACCUGCUUUACUCUGCUGUAGCCACUUUCUUUUCUUCAGGCAUGCCAAAGUUGUUUUUGUCUUAGGCUUUCAGACUUACCAAUACCAGCCCUACUGCCUAGAAUGUUCUUCCUUCCCCUAGCUCUUUCCCUGACUGACCCAUGUGAAGGCUUUGCUCCACUAUCAUCUCCACAGAGAGGCCUUUGAUGGCCCAAUCAAAGUGAUGCCCCUUCUUGUCCCUGUCUAUUUCAUUACUCUGUGGGUUUUGGGUUUGUUUAUUUUAUUUUUUUUGGUGAGUGUGAGUAUGUGGGUCACAGCAUUUAACCACUUUUUAAUUGUCUUCGUCAGUUCAGGCAGCUAUAACAGAAUCCUUCUUGCUGUAUCCUCACAUGGCAGAGGGAUCAUCUUUCUUGUGUCUUUUCUAGUAAGGGCACUAAGUUCAUCAUGGCACCCCCACCCUCAUGACCUAAUUACAUACCAAAGCCUCCAAAUACCAUCACAUUGGGGAUUAAGGCUUCCACAUAUGAAUUUUUGGAGAACAUAAAUAUUCAGUCCAUAACACUAAGAUUAUUCAUUUUUCUGUGCAUACAGUUAUUGUCUAUUUUCUCCAACAGGAAUAUAAACUCUAAGAGAGUAGGCACUGUAUUUGCUCUUUAGGAGGAACUGAAUAAAUAGUUUUUAGUAAUGAAAAAAUGUGCAAAUGAGCAAAGUAAGCAAAAUUCAAAGCUUGUGUGCAGUACCUACCUAUGUUUAAAACAGGUUAAUUUCCUUUAUCUUUUAACUGCUCCUUGAGUUUUUGCUAAGAGAAAUAUUCUGAGCCCUGAGAUCCAAUUCAGUUUUAUCUGGGGGCUCAGAGUAGCAGAAGAAAUUUUGCUUUUUUUUAAAAAAAACUUUAUUUUCAUCAAGAGAACGAUAUUUGAAGGUUGCUGAGUUUCUACUGCAAAGAAACCACUUUGAAUAAAAUCCCUUUGUUUUGGGAAGGUGAAUAGAUUUUUUUUUUAGUCUUUACAAUUUUUUUUUAUUUUAAUAGGUUUUUGGGGAACAGGUUUUGUUUGGUUACAUGGAUAAGUUCUGUAGUGGCAAUUUCUGAGACUUUGGUGCACCCAUCACCCGAGCAGUGUACGCUGUACCCAAUGUUUAGUCUUUUAUCCCUCAGCCCCUCCCACCAUUUCCCUUGAGUCCUCAAAGUCCAUUGUAUCAUUCUUAUGCCAUUGCAUCCUCAAAGCUUAGCUCCCACUUAUGAGCAAGAACAUACAAUGUUUGGUUUUCCAUUCCUGGGUUAGUUCACUUAUAAUAAUGGCCUCUAAUUUCAUCCAGAUUGCUGCAAAUGCCAUUAUUUCAUUCAUUUUUAUGGCUGAGUAGUAUUGCAUGGUGUGUGUGUGUGUGUGUGUGUGUGUGUAUCACAAUUUCUUUAUCCACUUGUUGAUUGAUGGGCAUUUGAGCUGGUUCCAUAUUUUUGCAGUUGUGAAUUGUGCUGCUAUAAACAUGUGUGUCCAAGUGUCUUUUUCAUAUAAUGACUUCUUUUCCUGUGGGGAGAUACCCAGUAGUGAGAUUGUUGGAUCAAAUGGUAGUUCUACUUUUAGUUCUUUACGGAAUCUCUACUAGUUUACAUUCCCACCAGCAGUGUAAAAGUGUCCCCUUUUCACUACAUUCAAGCCAACAAAACAGAUGAUCUUUAAAGGUAAAUAGUCACUAAUUUCCAGGGAAAACCAGGUGUUGUGAAAUGGUCUACAAGCAAGUAUUUCUUACUAGUCUCUUGAGGAUUAUAUUUAAGUCAAUAAAAACCUCGAGAUAACCACCCUUAUGCAGUGAUAAAGAAUUUAACCAAUGGAAAAGUGUUCAAAAACUCCUGUGUUAGCUAGCAGGCUUCUGAAUGUACUGCUGUGGUCCACAGAGAAGGCUAGAGAAGGUAGCAAGGAGAUGCUGUAUCAGCUACUACAGCCUUAAAACAAAGUAGGUGUCUCUUUGGACUUUAAAAUUGUUCCUAUGAAGCUUAUUUUAUUUUUGUUUAAUCAAAUAAACAAGACAGUUUUUCCAUGAAAAAAAAAGAAUUUGAAUAUAAUACAAUUGGCAAUUGGCUCUCAUCCUCUGCCCAACCCUAUUCCCAAGGGAAAUGAUGCAGCUAAAGUUCUUUUGGUGGGAGUGGGAAGGUGUGAGGAGGUUAGAAAGGGACUAAUUUGUGGUUACUUGGGACUUUCUCAGUUUAGUAUGUAAUCUAUUACAUAUAUUUUAUGUUUCUUAUGGCUUACAUAAGUUGUUAGUAUUAACCAAUCUCCUAUACAAGUAAUAAAAGAAAAUGAAUACACUUUUCUGUCUUUUAUUUUUCUAAGCAGUAACUAAGAGAUCAAUGAAAAAAAAAUUUAUAUAUAUUUGCUAAGUUGGCAAUAACCAAAUGCCACAUUUUACACAUUAUAGAGGAGCUUCGAUGUAAUGUAAGGGUUAGAAGUAGGGAAUUUUUUUUUUUUAAAUUUUAGGGGAAUUUUGUUCCUCAUAUCUGGGGCAGGGAUGGAAGACUGGGUCAUAGUAACUGAAGAGAGAGUGUGAAAGGAGAGGGGGCUUCUGAGUAUAAGGAGUCUUGGGAAUUUUUUCAUUGAUGGGCACUGAGUUGGCUUUCCCACUGCCAUCUGAAAGCUGUGAGGAAGUGGGCGGUGGCCCUUGAAAUGGUGUACUGAGCUCUUGGGUGCUGAGACUAGUCAUUUCUAGUACCCGUGGAGGGGACCUAACCCACAGCACAUAGGAACAAGCAAAUAGAGAGGUCAGUCUGGAAUAUCAAAGUGAUUAGAUCAUGGGAGGGACCUGAAGAUUCAGGAAGAACAACAGUUCAGAGAGAGAACAGCUGACAGAGGUGACAAGCAUCAGCCUGGACCAAUUUGUGGAGCAUAUGAGUGCUCCCUGGUAUUCCUAGAAAUACCUGGGGAACCACACUGAGAGGUGUGACGGCAUCAUCCUACCAUGUGUGUUAGGGUCUAUCUAGCCCAGCACUGUCCAAUACAAAUAUCACAAGGUAAUUCAAAAAUUUCAGCUGGGAAUGGUGGUUCACGCCUAUAAUCCCAACACUUUGGCAGGCUGAGGCGGGAGGAUUGCUUGAGGUCAGGAGUUCAAGAUCAGCCUGGGCAACAUAGGGAGACCCUGUCCCUACAAAGAAUAAAAAAAAUUAGCUGUACAUGGUGGCACGUUCCUGUGUCCCAGCUACUCAGGAGGCUGAGGUGGGAGGACGCUUAAGCCCAGGAGUUCAAGGCUGCAGUGAGUCGUGAUUAUGCCACUCCAGCCUGGGCAACAGAGUGAGACCUUGUCUCAGAAAAUUUUGUUUUGUAGCAGUCAUAUCAAAAAAAUUGAAAGAAACAGAUAAAAUUAAUUGUAAUAGUGUUUUAUUUACCAUAAUAGAUCCAAAAUAUUAUCAUUUAGAUAUGUGGCACUAGCCUAGUCAUUUGCUGGUAAAGCAGCUCUCUGAAAAAAUUUAUAAUGUUUACCAAUUUCCAUGGUAUAAAUACUCUCAUCAUGGUCAAUUUUAAGCUACAAUAGUGAUAACUAACAAUUAUUGAAUGCUAAUAUGUAUCAGGCACGGUAGAAGGUGUGUGCCUUCUACCUAUAUUUAUUUAUCUAUCAUUUGUGGAUGACUAAAUGAAAGAUAGGAGCUAAAUAACUUGCUCAAUUAGAAAUAGUAAUGCUUUUACUUGCAUACAGAUCUGACUUUUGCCCAGAGUGUCAAAAAUAAAAUCAAGGUAGGAUCAGAGAACAGUGGGGAGCUGAAGGGGCAGAAGGAAAGAAGGAACUCUGAAUAAAACUUCACCCCACAAUCCAGUCUAUUCUGUUCAUGUGUUGAGCACAGCUAUGGAUUAGUGCUGGAAUAAGCAGGGGAAUAUGAAGAUGAAUGGGUCUUGGAGUUUCUCCACCCAGGGGAGACAAGCACAUACAUGCAUAACCCUGACACAGGGCAGACUAUGGUCUGUGCUAAGAGAAGAGUGUAAUUAUUCUUCCCCAAACUGAGUCCGGAGCAGACGGGAGGUGGUGUGGUAAGAAACAGGGUUGAACACUGGGGAGAGGGAUUUUUGGGACCUGGAGCUUGGGCAAUUCCUAUAAGGACAUCCUUUGGGACUUCUGGGUCAGUGAUGAAGCAGAAAGUUGAGAUCUCUUCCAAAUAUAACCAGGGCGAAUUUGAGCCAACAUAGGAAGAAUAAGGGUAAGAACAGCAGAAAACACCAGGGAACAUGGCAGACAGUAGGAAGGAAAGGUCUACAGUAAUUCCCUGAGCCAAUUUGUAGAAAGCUGAAGAGGUUUUUGUUUGUUUGUUUGUUUUUCAUGUGUGUGUUUGUGUAUGUGUGAGAUUUGCAGAAAGGACAUACCCCAAAGACUUCUGAGCACAGCUUAAGGAGGCAGAAAGGGGUGAACAAACUGUAUACAGUGGUAAUGAGUGUGGAGAUAGGGAAUACUACCUCCAAAAAGAGAGAGAGAGAAAAUCAUGGCUCAUUGCUAUACUUCUCUCCAUCCACCCUCAGUCUCUGAUCAUAAGGAACCAUUCAUUUGGUUCUUUAUGUGGCAGGGCACUAUUUUGAAAUUAAUAAUUUAUUUUUUUCCCUGGCUAUUUCCUUUUAUUUCCUGGCCCCAUUUAGUUAGCUUGCCUAUGUUCAUUACCUUUGGGGGAAGGAAUGUGGUGGCACAAAGCAGAAAAAAAGAUUCUCUUGACUUUAGAGUUUCAAAAGCUCUGUCCCAAAGGGGAGCAGAAAAUGUUCGAUGAGUAAGUGGAAAGCUUUCUGGCCCCCUGAUGGUGUAAAGAUCCCUGGGCUGGAGAAAGAAGGGAAUUAAGGGGAUGAAUUGGGUGCAUAGAUGAGGGUAGAUGCCCAUGUAAGGGGAUUCCUACCCUGCUGAUGCCUAGGGUGGGGAUGGGGCUCAGCCAAAACUCAUGUAUGUUUUAAGAUGUAAGAUGUUGUUAUGGAAGGAAGUUUCUAGUGUCUUGUCAGGGAUCUGCGCUUAGUCUUCUGAGUCUUUAUGAACUCACUCUUUCUGUUAAUAAUUUAACUAAGUGCUUUUCAAAUUUCAUGUGGAUGCAAAUCUUUUUAAAAUCUGGAUUUUGAUUUGAUAGGUCUGGGGUGGGGCCUGGGAUUCUGCUUUUCUAACAAGCUCCUGAGUGACGUGGAUGCAGCCAUUUGUGGACACAGACCACAGACCACACUUAUCGCAAUUAUUGUGCACCUUCUAUUUGUAAGACAGUGCUAAUGGGUGUAAACAUUGUCCCAUGUAAACCCUAUAGCAACCCCAAGAGGUAAAUCCCAUUGAGGAUUUGAGGCAAUUUUAAAACUAGAGCUUACUGGGGUUCAGUGUCUCAUGCUAUGAUUGGGAUAAAGAUGUUGAUGAUUGCUGAUUGCACCUGAAGAAAGCUUUAAGAGAUGUUUAAUGCAACAUAUGUCAGUGAAACAAUAAACACUAAAAAGGCUUACAGGUUUUUUGUUUGUUUGUUUUGCAACACCAUAACAUUUGCAUAGGCCUACUCUGUCUAGACAUGCUGCUUAGUGUAUUACGUAGACUAUUUUAUUCUAGCUCCAAAAUAGGAAAGACAUUUAAGAAUAUUCUUAUAAGGACAUCGAAGGUAACAGGAUAAAAUUCUUGUUAUCAUAGAGAAUGAUAGGUAAAAUUCUUGUUACCACAGAGGAUAAAAUUCAUGUUAUCACAGAAGAAGUUAGAGAAACUUCAAGAAGCAAUGCUCUUUUGGUACAAUUUUAUAAUUUCCAGCCAUCUUAGUCUGCUUGGGCUGCCAUAAGACACCCAUAAUGUGGGUGCUUAAACAACAAUAAUUUAUUUUCUCACAGUUCUGGAGGCUGGAACUCUGGAUCAGUGUGCCAACAUGGUUGGGUUCUGGUGAGGGUUCUUUUCUUGGCUUGCAGACGGCCACCUUCUUGCUGUGUCCUCACUUGGUGGAGAGAGAGAUGGCUCAAGGUCUCUGGUGUCUUUUCUUCUAAAGGCCCUAAAUUCCAUCAGACCAGGGCCCUGCCCUCAUGACUCGACUACUUUCCAAAGGCUCCAUCUCCAAAUACAAUCACAUUGGAGGUAGGGCUUCAACAUAUGAAUUUGGGGUCGGGGGUUGCAGGAACACAAACAUUCAGGCCAUAACACCAGCAAUUGAGUGGUCUGGUACAGUUAAACAAGCAGGCAAACCCAGAUGAUCUUGGUUUAACUCCCAAUGCUGUUGUGCUUAGGUUACCCUGAGAUUCUGGUUCCUUGUGUUAAAGAUGUGUUAGUAAUAACCAGGCAGAGUGUUCGCAGGAGGAUUGAAUGAAAGAAAGCUUUUGUGCCUGACACAGAGAAAGCACACAAUAAAUGGAAGAUGUACUCCCAUUCAUCAAUAAUCUGAAAAGAAAAGAUCUAAUUUAAGUUUGUUCAACCCGUGGCCUGUGGUCCACAUGUGGCCCAGGACGGCUUUCAGUGCAGCCCAACACAAACUUAUAAACUUUCUUAAAACAUUAUGAGACAUUUUUGCAAUUCUUUUUUUUAGCUCAUUAGCUAUCAUUAGUGUUAUUGUAUUGUAUGGUAGCCCAAGAUAAUUCUUCUUCUUCCAGUGUUGCCAGAGAAGCCAAAAGAUUGAACACCCUUGAUCGAAUUGACAGGAAGAAGUUAUUUUUUUCUUACUGGAUUAGUAGCUGUGUGCAUUUGGUGUAUUAAUAUCUGCUUAGAUAAACUUUACUGGGCAUCUAGGCCAGAUGCAGAACUUAUAUUUCAUUUAAAAAGAUCAGUAGUAUCACACACAGUUUAAGAACAGGCUCCAGAGUAAACAAAGCUGGAUUCGGAUACCAGCUCUGCCAUGUACUAAGUGUUUCAGACAGGACAAUAAACAUAUGCAAAAACUCAGAGAGUGAAUAUUGUAUUGCCUCAUUCCUAAUCAAUUAUGAGCAUGGAUGUAUCCACAUCAGGGUUUCUCCACCUCAGCACUCUUGACAUUUUAGGCUGAUAGUCCUUUGUUGUUGAUGGCGGUGAGGUAUUGUCUGAGUGGAAUGUUUAUUAACAUCUCCAGCCUCUAUCCACUAGAUACUAGUGGCACCCUACCCCCAAUCCAGAUAAACAAAAAUGUCUCUAAAUAUUUUCAAAUGACCCCUAGGGGGCAAAUCUACCCUUAGUUGAGAAACAUAGGUUUAUGCUAAUUCUAAUUUAUACUCAGUUGGAUUUAUUCUGAAAAGAAGAGGGGAUUAAUGUCUCAUAUAUUCAGUAUAGAUUUCCUUUUGGAAUGAUUUCUAUUUAAAGAAAAUUAUCUUUUGAAGAUGAAUUAAGUUUAUCUUGAUUGUGUUGGUGGUUUUGUGAGUGUAUACAAUUGUGAAAGCUCAUCUAAUUGUACACUUUAAAUAAUGCAAUUUAUUGUCUAAAAUUAUAUUUUAAUAAAGUUGAUUUUUUUGAAAAAGAAAAUUGCUUAUAUCCUAUUGUGAGUUGAAAAAUGUACUUAUAGAUUUUUACAUGUUCUUGUCGUUGCACACAUAUUUUAAAUACGCAAUUUAAAAUGUAAUUUUUUGUGUGUCAAAAGUCUGUCUAGAUAUUUGCUUUCUAUAAUGGUGUGGCACAUCAUGGGUACAGUUCCAUUCAGAGAAAAAUUUCAGUAGCUGUUUUGUGCCACUAAGUUUUAGAAUCUGUCAUCAUGCCCUAAAAUAACUGCCAGUGGUCAAGAUUUAAAAAAAAACAAAACUAAGCAACAUGAAGAAUGAAAGGGAAAAUUGGCAUCAGAACAAAAGGGGUUGACAAGUGAGAGACUAGUGAGUCUGAAACCCAAAUGGAAUAUCAUCACAGGAGUUCACAUUUGUAUUUGAACUAAUGGUGUGCAUCCGGUUUCAAUGAAAAGUGUACAUUUCAGGUUUGCUAAUCUUUCACCUCUAAGAUCAAAGUCCAGCUACCAGGAGACUUCUGUAUUUAAUAGUGCUGUUUUCAGUAUUGUUUAGACUCUCAUUAUUUCUGGUCCUGUGAACAGUGUGUUUCAGCUCUAUUGCAGGCAAAUUCAAUUUGGCCCUCUGAGAGUACAAUAUAGGACUCCUAACCUCAGGAACUUGCAGCAUCAUGGGGGAGACUGAAAUAGAUUUAUUUAUUUAUGUAUAUUUUUGAAAUUUUAUUUUUAUUUUAUUUUUUAUUUAAAAAAGUUUUAAAUUAAUUAAAAAAUUGUGAAUACAUAGUAGGUAUAUGUAUUUAUGGGGUAUGUAAGAUAUUUUGAUACAGGCAUGUAAUGUGAAAUAAGUCCAUCAUGGAGAAUGGGAUAUCCAUCCCCUCAAGCAUUUAUCCUUUGAGUUACAAGCAAUCCAAUUACAUUCUUUAACUUAUUUAAAAAUAUACAAUUAAGUUAUUAUUGACUAUAGUCACCCUAUUGUGCUACCAAAUAGUAGGUCUUUUGAUUCUUUCUUUUUUUUUUUUUUGUACCCACUAACCAUCCCCACCUCCUCCCUCCUCCCCGUGAAAUAGAUUUAAAGAAUUACAAGAUGAAACAGAGCAUAAUAAAUGCUCUCAACACAGAGGUGAAAACAGCUGCAUUCUUCUGGGAAAUCCGGGUGAGGCUUCCUAUCAUAGAAAGUAAUGGUGAAAGAGACCUUCAGUGGUUGUUUAGGGAGAUUCACAAGUCUGGCUCUUAUGGACUAUUUUAGAAAUAUGGCUUCAAAAGGCAUCACUCCAAACCUACUGCUAUGGUUUCGAUGUUUGUCCCCUCCAAGCCUUAUGUUGAAAUUUGAGCUCCAGUGUUGGAAGUGGGGCCUAAUGGGAAGUGUUUGGGUCAUGAAAGCAGGUCUCUCAUGAAUAGAUUAAUGCCCUCCUUUUGGGGUGAGUGAGUUCUCACUGUAUUUGUUCCUGCAAGAGCUGGUUGUUAAAGAGAGCCUGGCACCUCUCUCUUGUAUCUUGCUUUCUCUCUUACCAUGUGAUAUCUCCACACUCUAGCUCUCUUUUACCUUCCACUAUGAGUAGAAGCACCAUGAGGCCCUCACAAGAUGCAAAUGUUCAACCUUGAAUGUUGCAGCCGUCAGAAUUGUGAGCCAAAUAAACCUUUUUUUCCUUACAAGUUACCCAGCCUUGUGUAUUCCUUUACAGCAACACAAAAUAGACUAAGACACCCAAGGAAUCAGAAUUUCUAGAGUGAAGGUAUUAGGAGUCAGAAUCAUUAAAAAGUUCUCCUAGUGAUUCAGAUGAUAAACUAGGCUUUGGGAGCCACUGAUCCUAUCAACAAUCUACUCAAUGCUAGAAUUCUCUGAACAGAAUUUCUUCAAGGUUUUGUUUAGUACUUCUAGAACACAGCAAGCUCACUACCUCACAGGACAGCCCUUCAUGGGGAAUGUGUAACGUGUAGGGUUUUGAUAGUCAGAGGUGGAGGGUAAGGGUGUUUGAGGCAGAGUGAAUAUUAGAAAUAAUCAGAAAAUAGAGGGAGAUAAGUUUGGAAGGAAAACUUGGAACUCCUGCAGGAGGAAACCUGUGCCAGGAUGAAGGGCUUGGAGAGCUGACUGCAGGAGCUCAAGUGAGGAGUAAUAAGAGUUUGGAUUAGAAGCAAUAGGAAUGGCAAAGAGGAGGAAAGAAAAAACUGCAUUGCAGGGCUAGCCUACAAAGCUUGAUGACUGGGAACGAGGAUGAUUCAAAGUUGAUUCUUGGAUUUUGAGGUCCUGGAGUACAAAAACAUUAACCAGGACAGUGACAUUAGGAUCAGGAAUAGGUUGAAAAGGCAGAUUACAAAUCAGAUUUUGACAUUUGAAAAUGCAUUUGUUUCUGUCACCUCCGACAUCACUCUAUCACUUGUCCCAGGGCAGAGUUUAUCUAUGACUCCCUGUGUAUGCUCAGAGAUUGGCACUGAGUACACUCUCAGAAUGUCUGGUGAAUGAAGAGCCACUGUAAGUGUCUUCUCCAUUUGUGUCCUCCCUGCUUUAGUUUAGGACCUUAUUUCUCACUUGAAUCAUUGCAGACUCAAGGUCCCUAGCUUAUACCACUGUCUUUGUGUGUUUUAGAACAAGGCACCCCCUGCGGGUUUAUAAAUUAGAAAAAGAGCCUGCAUUUAAAUGAGUACAGCCCUUUGUUCAGGGCUUAGGAAGCAAAGUUCACCUUUGUGGGAUGAUAAACAUAUCCCUUCCUGCAGGAGGAAACUUCCUGUACCAGGAUGGAGGGCUUAGAGAGCUGACUGCAGAGGUGGAAUUUUAGAUCUCACUCAUUCCCUCAGCUGGCACAGAGCACCCUGGAAAUGUCUCCCAGUUGGCCAACUUGAUCCUGCCUUGCCAUAUCUGUCUCUUUUCCCCCCCCUAGAAUUAUUUCCUGAAGUACCUGCCAUUUCUAUUUCCCUCAGUCAGAGUGAUUUUUUUUGUAAUUCUAAAAUGUAAUCAUAUCAUAUCAUAUCACAUUCUGCUUCAAACCUCUCCAUGUUUCUCCAGUAGCUGCAGCAUGAAGUCCAAAGUCCUUAACUUGUAACAAAAGUCCAUUUACGACAGAUUCUUCUGAGCCUCUUCUCCAGCAGCCACUCUCCUUCACCAUCUUCCUCUUCAGCUGUAGUUCCCUGAACUGACACUGCACAAACAGGCUCCACUGCCCUCACUCCUGGCCCAACAGGCACUGCCCCUCCCCAGUGCCCCAGAUGGCCAGACUGCUUCUCGUUUCUCCCAGAUCAAGGAAGCUGUUCCUGUCCUAAUUCCAGUGUAGAUUAGCACCUGUCCCCCUGCACCCUUCCCUUCUGCACUGAUACCUAGGACCCAGAACUUUCCAGGUUGUGGAGAUUCCGCUUUCCUGUCUGUGACCUCCCUGAGGACUAAAAAUGUGUUUUGUUUGUGUCUUUUCCUCUAGUAUUUGGCUCAGUCUUGUUGAAUGGACAAAUGAAAAUCUGACUUAGAGAUAAAUGAAAAAUGUAGAUUUUUUUUAUCACCAAAAAACCCCAAAACCAAAACCCAGACACCAAAAAAUCCAAACAACAACAAAACCCUCAAACCAAAGAAAAAAAAAAAACCCAAAUGUUUUUUGCUUCUUUCUGAACAUGAGGUAUCUUGUGAGUGGUCAAAGCCCUUUUCUUUUCCAUAUUUUCUGUAGUCUUGAAAUGGCUAUUCAUUUAGGAGGUUAAUAGUCUAUGGGAAGAUAAUUACUUUGGUUUAUUUUACAUCCUGUGGCUUUAUUUUAAGGCUGAUUUGCUCUGGUGUGCUUAUGUAUUUAAUAUUUGUGAGAUACUUUAAGAAAAAUUGCCACCAGGCUUGGUGGCUGAUGCCUAUAAACCCAGUGCUUUGGGAGGCCAAGGCAGGAGGAUUGCUUGAGGCUAGGCAUUUGUGACCAGCCUGGG
rnacentral:lncRNA from 1 species